CUUGUACUCCCUCCGUUCCGAGUUACUUGUCUUGGAUUUAUCUAGAUACAUCCGUAUCUAGAUUCAUUUUAGUGCUAGAUACAUCCGUAUCUAGACAAAUCUAAGACAAGUAAUUCAGAACGGAGGGAGUACUUG
rfam:Triticum aestivum genome assembly, contig: Triticum_aestivum_CS42_TGACv1_scaffold_254916_3DL